rnacentral:rRNA from 1 species
GCAAGUCGAGCGCACCUUCGGGUGAGCGGCGGACGGGUGAGUAACAUGUAGGUAUCUGCCCUUUGGCCUGGAAUAACACGAGGAAACUUGUGCUAAUACCGGAUAAGUCUUUACGGAGAAAGCUUUAUGCACCAUUGGAUGAGCCUGCACUUGAUUAGUUUGUUGGUGGGGUAAUGGCCUACCAAGACUGUGAUCAAUAGCUGAUUUGAGAGGAUGAUC